rnacentral:lncRNA from 1 species
GAAUUACAUCUCACUGUUUUUGAAAGAAAACCUGUUAACAUAUGUGUGAUCUGUUUCUUGUAGGCAACUACUGUCCUGAGUUCUGCAUACUUCUGGUUGGGAUUAAUUCUGGUUCCUACUGCAUGUUUGCUCGAAGAUGUGGCGUGGAGAGCGGCCAAGCAUACCUACAAAAAGACGUUGCUGGAGGAGGUACAGGAGCUGGAAACCAAGACCAGAGUGAUGGGGAAAGCCAUGCUGCGGGACAGUAAUGGAAAGAGAAUGAACGAGCGUGACCGCCUGAUAAAGAGGCUCGGCAGGAAGACACCCCCGACCCUCUUCCUUGGUG